rnacentral:rRNA from 1 species
GAUGAACGCUGGCGGCGUGCCUAAUACAUGCAAGUCGAGCGAACGGACGAGAAGCUUGCUUCUCUGAUGUUAGCGGCGGACGGGUGAGUAACACGUGGAUAACCUACCUAUAAGACUGGGAUAACUUCGGGAAACCGUAUCUAAUACCGGAUAAUAUUUUGAACCGCAUGGUUCAAAAGUGAAAGACGGUCUUUCUGUCACUUAUAGAUGGAUCCGCGCUGCAUUAGCUAGUUGGUAAGGUAACGGCUUACCAAGGCAACGAUGCAUAGCCGACCUGAGAGGGUGAUCGGCCACACUGGAACUGAGACACGGUCAAGACUCCUACGGGAGGCAGCAGUAGGGAAUCUUCCGCAAAGGGCGAAAGCAUGACGGAGCAACGCCGAGUGAGUGAUGAAGGUCUUCGGAUCGUAAAACUCUGUUAUUAGGGAAGAACAUAUGUGUAAGUAAAUGUGCACAUCUUGACGGUACCGAAUCAGAAAGCCACGGCUAACUACGUG